rnacentral:rRNA from 1 species
UACAGAGGGUGCAAGCGUUAAUCGGAAUUACUGGGCGUAAAGCGUGCGUAGACGGUUACAUAAGUCGGGUGUGAAAGCCCCGGGCUCAACCUGGGAAUUGCAUUCGAGACUGCGUAGCUAGGGUGCGGAAGAGGGAAGCGGAAUUUCCGGUGUAGCGGUGAAAUGCGUAGAUAUCAGGAAGAACACCAGUGGCGAAGGCGGCUCACUGGUCCGGUACUGACGCUGAGGUGCGAAAGCGUGGGGAGCAAACAGA